CGCCGACCCUGGGCCGCGGGUUCGAGACUCCCCCGGGGCACCGCCCGCGCUGCCCUUCCAAAACACACCUCCGGUACCAAAACUAGACCCAGAACGACUCAAGGUCAGCCGAGUCUCACACUCCAUGUGACCACAUCCACCUCAGACAGCACAGUAGCUUAAGGAACUCAGCCCUGUGCAACAUUCACACCCAAACCUUGGGCCUCUAAUCCCUGAACACACUCACGGGCUGGUCUGGAUCCUGCCCAGCUGGAAAACUGAGUCAGCCUCGCACCAAGAACAGAUUUAGCAGCAAGAUCUCUGUACUACAUGGAGGAGGGGCAGCAGAACAGCUAUUCCUUCUCACCAGGAUUUGCAUCUUCAGCCUCACAAGCCACAUCAGACACAGUUAAAUCAUAUCCUGCAGACACAGUGAAGCUGCAUUUUCCAAACUCCAAAGGACACCAUGUGUGAGCAAGAAACUGCAGGAGCAAUUUGUUGCAGAUAAGGAAUAACCACCAUGCACAAGGAGGAGCAGCACAACUCACACCACUGAAGAGAUGACAUGGAACCAGCUCCACAAAGCCAGAGCCUCCUGACUCCUCAGUCAUGAUGGAUACCACGGAAAUGUUCUGGAAACACACUGCCAAUACUUAAUUCUCUCACAAAUAGUAUUGCUUAACCAUCACCAAACCUCGGGCAAGCAACUGAUGGGGAGAUCACAGUUUAAAAAGCUGUGAUGGAAGAGUGUUUGGGGGAAUGUUUUAAAAAAAUAUUAUUAUUUUUUUAAAGGAAGCUCCGAAAGGAAGUGAAUGAGGAGAUCUGUUUAAAACAAAAAUAAAGGAACCCAAGCAGUACAUAAACACAAUACAUAAACAGGAUGGCAUAAACAGGGGGAAAAAAUGAAGUGGUGAUAUUGGAGAACGUGAUCUACCACAGAAACCUUCUCUCACUGCUCCAGGCGAGGAUUAUUGACUACAAAUAGGUCAUCCCUGAACAGCGACUGUGGAGUCCUUCCAAACACAACCACAACUCACAGCCCAGCACAAUCACCACAUUUACAUCACAAAACACGAGCAGAUUAAAAAAAAAAAACACACCAAACAACAAAAACACAAAACCCAACCCCUUCCUAUCCUGACUUGGGGAUUUUAAAUAUUUUAAAGGGAGACUCCAGUCUCCGGUUACAUAAUUGCCCUGCCCGGGUGGCUGCAGCGCUGCCUGCCAGCCCUCCCUGCGAGGAGAAAAGCUGCAGGGCUGCAAACUGGCAACUCGGGGUUUAAAUUUUAAGCUACCAGCGAGCACGUUCUCUGACAGAGACAUUUAAGUGUCCAUUAAAAGAGGCGGAUUCUUCACAAACUGACCUCCUGCCGCCCGGAAGCAGCUGUGACAGAGUAACCAGCCUUUUACAUAACUGGGAGCUGAUGGGUGGGAGAGAAAUCCCUGAGAAAAUCUGCAUGUCUGAGGUAGCACUGAGGCACAAAGGGAACGAAGCAACCUCUACACAGUACUACAAACCCUUCUCUUUCCAAAAUUAUUCCAGUAUUUCAUCAAACCCAUUCCUAACUAUCAGCAGUAAUUCCCGAGUUUCACACAAGAGCCCUCCAUAAGCCUAUUUUCAGUCUAAAUAGGCCUGUUCCUUCUUACCAACUAUUCAGUUCCUCUCUAAUUACCUACUUACUACUGGUAAUACAAACUCCAGGUUCCAGCUCCAAACCCCUUACACACAGGCUGCCUCUGUCCCCAGCAGCUUGGAGCCCAACAAAGGAAUGUCCUUAACUCCAGAGGACAAAGCAAACUCCUAUCUAUGGUAACAUCAAAUUUCAGGGAGUGAGGUUUCACUACAUGAAUUUACUUUCACUUCCCUCAAAAAGCGGAUGUCCCGUGGUGUCUGUGUGAAACCGAGGGCUGAGGGUGUGUGAGAUUUCCAGCAGCCAACCCCAUUCCAAAGGGGUCACGCGCCAAACCCUCACGUGACGUUCAAUUCGCAUCCUGAAAUGCUCAAGAAUGAACAAACCCAGGAGACAGUGCACAAAAACCAGUGUGAACCUCCCAGGAUCGGCCAACCAGCGGGGCUGCACGUUAUUCCCAAGGUGUCCCCAGGGAUGAGCGUGUCACCCGUCUGAUCCACUGGCAGCAGUUUCAUAACCUGCCCUCGAGCGCCCGGCUGCUGCUUCAACUGUUACACUUUGAUUUCUCAACCCAUUAUCCACCCUCAGUCUCCCAGGCCUUUAUUUUACAGCCCGAGCUAUAAAAACAUUUCACUCUUGUUUUUUGAUCCUUGUCAUGAAUUAAUUUAAAAAUAGUUCUAAUUUUUACCCAGUGCAAUAUCCUCCUAAACGACGACAGCUCACCCCAAGAACCCUGGUGCUUGUAUGUUUUUUGGACUGCGUGGGUCUACAGUUUUAUCCUAAGCUUUAAAGUGCUGCUUUUCUCCCAGCUGCAGUUUAAAUCUUCUCUAAAAGCCAAAUCUAAAAAUGGAGAUCACACAAAGCAGUAUUUAUGUACAGCCCAGAUGAAAGGUUACUCCUCUUCUCUCCUUCACAGCAUCUCUCUCGGGCAUUUAGUGCUGAUUUGCUUCUCUGACCAAAGAUCCUUUAAUCAAAGGAACACAGAUCCUCAAUUACACAUCUCAGAUAAUCAGACAUUUCAUUCCUUUCUCCCUGAGAAAGUUUCCACCCAAGCUGACCUUGUCCCUAUGAUCACACACCAGGACAGAACAUCAGCUCCACAAUUCCCACCAAUGAAGCAGCAAAAGCUGUUUCUGAAGAGUUUAUAACCACUACGAAAGUUUCAUUCUGCAGCUCGAUGUUUGAAUGUAAGCACUCCAAAAAGGAUUAUGGCACUUGCAAAGCCCUCAGUGGACUUCCAGAGUCUUCGUAUCUGCUGAUAAGAACAGUUUAGACACAUUUCUUCCAGAACUAACCUCCACAAGGAAUGACAUUUUCAGCGUUGCUACUUUGGCUGAGCAAGCCCCAGAGGACGUGUCAGCCAAGAGCAACAUCACCACCUCAGGUACCACGUUCUUCCCUCCCAAGAUGUGCAUUUUGGGUUCAGUAAUCGAGAAAGGCUUUAGGACAGCGCUGCAUCAGCCACUGGCAAAGAUCAAUGGUUGCACUGCUCGAGCUACAGUCACGAGGUGACAGAACUGUCCCAAGAGGCCCUUCCUAAAAGGUACCACUUUCUAUAAAAACCACCCAAACCACAGCUGUGGGGACUGAAAGCACAGUGCCCCUCACUGCGGAACGAGCACAAGCACCCUCGAAACACUCCACUCUCAAACAACACUUAAACCACAUCCAUUUGUGCCAUUGGAGCGUUAUAAAUAAUUCAGGAGUCCUAAAUUUCCAAUCUUGUGCUCCAUAACAAACCAACGACAAAAUAAUCUGCCAGUGACUCCUCUGGCUUUCACAAAGAGCUCGGUGUGAUGAGCUCCCUUUUUAACUGGGGUUUUCAGCCGCCGCUGUACAUUUCUAGCCUACUGUAUUUUUGUAAAAACCCACGUACGUCAGCAUUGUGACAAAAUAACCUGUAAACUGCUAAAAGGCUCAGAGCCCGCGGGAGGUGUGGGGGGUGUCACAGGCCCCUCUCCGCCCGGGUCCGCGCUCGCAGCUGCUCACCAGGGGUCGAGACCCCGCGAUCCCCUCAGAGCCCCCCCACCCCCGGGGGGGGACACUCACCGUCAUUCCCGCCCAGCCCGCUCCGCAGGGCCCGGCCGUCCUCGCGGGGCCCGCUCACCGCGGCCGGAGCGGCAGGGCCGGGGCCCGGCAGCCGCGCGGGGGAUGAGCCCGGCGGCCGCCCGCCCGCCGCCGCCCCCCUGCCUUUCCUCCUGAAGAAGGACAUAGCGCCGGGGAGGGGGGGCUCGGCGGCCGGCGGGCCGGGGGAAGGCGGGAGGCAGGGAGGGCGCGGGCCGGUCCCUAUGAAUGGGGCUCCUGCCCCCGCCCGCCGCCACCGCUCCCUCCGCCUCUUCCUCCCGCGGCGGCGCCCGCGGCCGCCAUGUUGUCAACAACCGCCCCGCGCCCACUUCCGCCCAGCGCGGCCGCGCGGCACGGCGGGACGUGCCCGCACUCAACAUGGCCGCCGCGGCGUCGGGCGAGACGACCAAUAGGGAGAUGGCUCGCGGCGGCCAUGUUGGGUGAGGGCAAGCAGCCCGCGAGGGUCCACAGCGGUGAGGGAGGGGAGGCGGCCAUCUUUGAUCAGGGCUAGGGGCGCUGGGCCGGGGGAGGCGGGGGCUGCCAUCUUGGUUGAGGGCACAGGUGACCUGGGGACGCUGCGGCAGCUCGGGCGCGUCCCGUGGGCGCGGGUGACAGCGAGCCCUGAGGGCAGGGGACAGUGGUCCUGAGGGCAGUGGACAAUGGUCCUGAGGGCAGGGGAGAGCCCUGAGGGCAGGGGACAGUGAUCCUGAGGGCUGGGGACAAUGGCCCUGAGGGGAGGUGACAGCGGGCAAGUGUCAUAGCAGGGCCACGAGAGCCAAUUGCCCUGCAAAGAAUCUGGAGACCUCUGAGAUGUGGCCCAAAAUGUCCCCUUUGGCCACAGAGGCUGCAGCAGAGGGGACGGACACAAGGACGGAUGGCCAGCCCUGGCCCCCAUCCGACCCCUGCCCAGGGUCUGUGGGCUCUGCAGCCCCAGCUCUGGUCCCUCAUGCCAAGGGCACAUCGUGGCCCCGGUCGGUGCCUCGUUUGCUGCAGGAAUGUGGCAGCUCCGUCAUUCCAUCCCAAACCACCCAGACACACCAGAAAUCCCUGCCAGGCUGCAUAGCGCCCGUCAGGACGUGGGGACACUGCUGGGUCCUGGCAAUUGCUGUCUGAUAAGUCAGUUCCGUCUGCGUCCUGGAUCCUGCCACAAAAAUCCUCUUAAUUAUCCUCCCGAGGCAAAUCUGCUCUUUCCUCAGCCACCAAGGACAUUUGUCAUUAUAACUCAGCACUCAGGUUGAUCUCUGAGGAGCAGAGCUCUCAUAUAAAUGCUUUGCAAACACUGCAUAAAGACUGUUAUUAUAAAUUCUGGUUUGUGUAUGAGGAAACUGAGACACGGACCCAGAGAGCAGCUCUCCCCAAACCAUACAGCUCCACCUGAUCCGUGCAGCAAACCAUCCAGCCUUUUCCUGGGAAUCUGCCGUGAGUGCCAUGAACUCCAGCAAUGGUGAGAAGGGAGAGACACAAACUGAGUCGCUUUCCUGUGGGAUUUAGUGCUCCAUACCAGGCAGGAAUUACCUUUCCAAGCAUACAACUCUCAGCCCAGUUCCUCUGCGAGGUGUUUUAUGCCAUGACAUUUCUGGGCUCGAUCCCCAGGACCUUGUUCCAUGGGCCCAAUUAACAAAACACCAUGAGAAUCCCAAAACAAUCCCUGCAGGAGGUGCAGGGAUCACAGGAGGCAGCUGCAGCUCUUCCUCUGCCAUCCCCGUGUCACCCCUCUGCCAUGUAACUGUCCUGCCCUCAGUGCUUGAGCCACGAGAAAAUGAUGUGAUUAAUAAUCAUUACGAAAGUUCCUGCACCAUCUUUCACCCAAGUGUUGCAAAGCUCUUUACAAACACUCAGUAAUUAACACUCAUAAAUUGUAAAUUGCAUAAAAGGUACAUGGGGAUCUUCCAGGGCUGGUCUGGAGCCGUCUCUUGGGCAGGAUAGUGCAGCUGAUCAACACCCUGUAGCAACUGCAUUUUCUCUUUUGAUAUUAUUUUUGUUAACUGAUGCUCUUUGAUACAGUUUUGUACACAUGCCCAGAGGCUGGUUGGGGGAUAAUGAACUAUCCUAUAUGGUUUCUGCAUAAUGAAUGGAGUUAUUUAAUUGGCACAUAACCUAAGAGACUGCUAGUAGACUAAAACAUUCAAAACAUGAGCAAAUAGGAAAGAAUGGGAUGACUCAGGGAACACUGAAUUAACAGCCUCUGUCAAAGAAAUUUGCACCCACUCCUCUUGGGUUUCAAUGCUGGGGUUGAAGAAGAAUGCAGUGAUUUACAUCCUUUUCCAUGGGUGAAUUGCAGGCAUUGCUCAUCCCACUUGGUGAGGAAAACCUUCUAUGUAACCUUCUAUGUUGCAACUCAUUUUCAAACAGCAGCUCCUUUUCCAAAAACCUCAUCCAACCUGUCAGAGUCUUUGGGAUAAUUCAAUUUUCUUUGCAUCAGAUUCUGGAUAACUGAGGAAACCUCAAGAUAUGAGGGUCUGACAUGAAUUACCUUUCCUGGAUUAAAAUUUUCUCCCUUUUCUGGGAAUAUGGAGAAGGGCUGAAGCUCCAAUCUGCAGUUGGUCACUGGAGAUCUGAACUGGAAGAGUGAGUGACAGCAGGUUCCGGAGUCUUUAACAGCACGUGAGAGUUUAAUUGUCUGAGCAAUCAGCUGAAACAUGACUUCAGGACAUGGGUUGGCCAAUGUCAGAGAAGCUGAGGGACUCCUCCCUGAAUUAAAAUAUUCAAAUAAAAAAAAAAGCCUCCCUGCCUGGUGAUUUUUCCCUCUCCACAGCUAGAAAAAUAAACAAACUUUAAUAAGA